CUGGGAGGACCAUCUCCUAAGGCUAAAUACUCUCUAGUGACCGAUAGUGAACCAGUACCGUGAGGGAAAGGUGAAAAGCACCCCGGAAGGGGAGUGAAAUAGAACCUGAAACCGUGUGCUUACAAGUAGUCAGAGCCCGUUAAUGGGUGAUGGCGUGCCUUUUGUAGAAUGAACCGGCGAGUUACGAUUUGAUGCAAGGUUAAGCAGUAAAUGUGGAGCCGUAGCGAAAGCGAGUCUGAAUAGGGCGUUUAGUAUUUGGUCGUAGACCCGAAACCAGGUGAUCUACCCUUGGUCAGGUUGAAGUUCAGGUAACACUGAAUGGAGGACCGAACCGACUUACGUUGAAAAGUGAGCGGAUGAACUGAGGGUAGCGGAGAAAUUCCAAUCGAACCUGGAGAUAGCUGGUUCUCUCCGAAAUAGCUUUAGGGCUAGCCUCAAGUGAUGAUUAUUGGAGGUAGAGCACUGUUUGGACGAGGGGCCCCUCUCGGGUUACCGAAUUCAGACAAACUCCGAAUGCCAAUUAAUUUAACUUGGGAGUCAGAACAUGGGUGAUAAGGUCCGUGUUCGAAAGGGAAACAGCCCAGACCACCAGCUAAGGUCCCAAAAUAUAUGUUAAGUGGAAAAGGAUGUGGCGUUGCCCAGACAACUAGGAUGUUGGCUUAGAAGCAGCCAUCAUUUAAAGAGUGCGUAAUAGCUCACUAGUCGAGUGACACUGCGCCGAAAAUGUACCGGGGCUAAACAUAUUACCGAAGCUGUGGAUUGUCCUUUGGACAAUGGUAGGAGAGCGUUCUAAGGGC
rnacentral:rRNA from 1 species